ACAUAUCGUUACGUCAAUUUCAGUGCAUACCGCUUAAUUACCUAAAUCACUUCCUUUCCACAGCAUCUAACUUAUAAGAUGCCCUGUACCAUUUUAUUUCCUGCCUUCAAUCUUCCUCCGGUGAUCUACAAUUUUCUCCCUGGUACCGAGUGAACUAGCCAGUGGAAAGAAACGUUGGAACGUCGAAAAGCAGGGGAAAAAGGAGUAGAAAAGAUCCAAGGCAAGAGCUACCGCGGCAGGGGUCUCGAUUACGAAGGGGAAGAGCACGUAGUGCACGUACUACUCGCAAUUCGAAAUAGCUAGGCCAUAAAUUAGUAGCUGGCUAUCUGAGCGCGGCGAUAGAGGGAGAAAAGGAGCAAUUAUUUCCUUUGGACGCCAUAUUUCAGUUCGAACAUCUUAAUAACCGUGGAUGUUGUGGCUUCUCCUCGAAUCAGACGAGGAUAAUCGUGAAAGAAACGAAGAGAGGCAGAGAGGAAGAAACAGAAGGGCGGGUGAUACGUAGGAAGGAAAAUCAGAAAAUAAGAAAAAUUCUUCAGAUGUUACAUUCGUCAGAACGGCAGUUCGUCCGACUACGCGUCCGCUAUAACCGUAGCCUUAGACGGUAACACGUUUUCUCGUGUAAAUCAUUCGCGGAUUAACAUGGCGCAGGGAAAAGCGAAUGUGCAAGUCGGCCCUAAAGAGGCGUUGCUCGGGCACCGGUAUAUGUACUUUGCAUAUACGCCGCUGAAUCACGUCUCGUUGCUUGGUAGCCGUUAAAAGCGCCGUAUAUCAUGUCGCUAAAGGACAUGAAUUGUGGGUGGAUCUGAUUUGGAGGGAACACC
rnacentral:misc_RNA from 1 species